rnacentral:tRNA from 1 species
UUCCUGGAGGACUCGUGGUUAGGCCACAGCGCUGUCACUGCUGCGGCCCAGGUUCAAUUCCCGGCCAGGAAA